GACGAACGCUGGCGGCGUGCUUAACACAUGCAAGUCGAACGAUGAAGAAGAGAAACGCGAACUUCGGUUCAAAUUUCACUUCGGAUUAGUGGCAGACGGGUGAGUAACGCGUGAGCAACCUACCUCUUACAAAGGGAUAGCCUCGGGAAACCGUGAUUAAUACCAUAUGACACAUUCAUAAGGCAUCUUAAGAAUGUUAAAGCUACGGCGGUAAGAGAUGGGCUCGCGUCCCAUUAGCUAGUUGGUGAGGUAACGGCCCACCAAGGCGACGAUGGGUAACCGGCCUGAGAGGGUGAACGGUCACAUUGGAACUGAGACACGGUCCAAACUCCUACGGGAGGCAGCAGUGGGGAAUAUUGCACAAUGGAGGGAACUCUGAUGCAGCGACGCCGCGUGAGCGAUGAAGGAAUUCGUUUCGUAAAGCUCUAUUCUAUGGGAAGAAAAGGACUGUACCAUAAGAGAAAGCCCCGGCUAAAUACGUG
rnacentral:rRNA from 1 species